GGUCGCCUAGGAGCGGAAACGGUGGUUCUGGAUUUGUGACGUCCUGUGGUUACUAACUCUGGCCCUCCAGUCCCCUCCUUUUAAAGGGGUCACACAUUCUAAGAAUGUCGUCUGAAACCCUCCUUAGGAGUUGUUGCUCGGCCAGGUGACCGACCUCUAGGUGUGGACGGUCUCUGCGUCGGGGAGAAUUUUUCAGUCAACCAGGCCUCUUGACAGCGAAUGAGCUGCUGACCAGAUCGCUAAUCCCGGAUCGGUUGCAGGGAAGUAAGGAGGAAUCCAGAAAGCUUCUACUUUUUCAGAUAAGAAUGCUGACAUCCUGAUUUGCAUGCUCUUAUUUGGCUCCACCCUCUAAACCUCAAUGAGGGAUGGGGGGCAGAAAACAUCCCUCCAAGCCCAGAUGAGUGACAUGAAGUACCACGUGGUGAAGAGAAGGCGGUCAAUGGAACCUCAUCCUCUGAAGAUUUUUUACUCUAAACCACAUGCUGCUUCCUGGGCUCAUGAAGAAAUAUUACAGCAAAAAGACCGAAAACAGAUCCAACAGCAUAAGGCAAAAGAGAGCAGGUUAAUAAAAUUAGCUGAGAUGGGUUUUUU